UGAAUACUAAAAUAAAGAAAAAAGAUAAAAAAAAAAACUUAAAAAUAAGAUGUCUGAAUUGCGAUGUAUUGUUAUUUAAUUAUAGUUCAAUUGUUUUACGAAUUGUUUUUUAUUACUAUAACUGUUAUAAAUUAAGCAUUGAAAUGAUCAUCCACUUCUUUACCAAACUCAAGCACUAUGAUCAUCUACUCAUCAAACACUAUGAUCACCCA
rnacentral:lncRNA from 1 species